rnacentral:rRNA from 1 species
GACGAACGCUGGCGGCGUGCCUAAUACAUGCAAGUCGAGCGAAUCGAUGGGAGCUUGCUCCCUGAGAUUAGCGGCGGACGGGUGAGUAACACGUGGGUAACCUGCCUGUAAGACUGGGAUAACUUCGGGAAACCGGAGCUAAUACCGGAUACUUUCUUUUCUCGCCUGAGGGAAGAUGGAAAGAUGGUUCUGCUAUCAAUUACAGAUGGACCCGCUGCGCAUUAGCUAGUUGGUGAGGUAACGGCUCACCAAGGCGACGAUGCGUAGCCGACCUGAGAGGGUGAGCGGCCACACUGGGACUGAGACACGGCCCAGACUCCUACGGGAGGCAGCAGUAGGGAAUCUUCCGCAAUGGACGAAAGUCUGACGGAGCAACGCCGCGUGAGCGAAGAAGGCCUUCGGGUCGUAAAGCUCUGUUGUUAGGGAAGAACAAGUACGAGAGUAACUGCUCGUACCUUGACGGUACCUAACCAGAAAGCCACGGCUAACUACGUGCCAGCCGCCGCGGUAAUAC